GUUCAUUUGUUUCCAUCCAUCGAAGUCUCGAAACGCAGCCCUCAUCUCUCAUCUAAUCUCUCAUCGAACUCGAAGUCACUCUCACGGUCUCACCUCACCCCAAAUUAGGAUUACCAGAUUGCUGCGGCUACCAGGAUUACCAGGUUUAUGCGCUGCGUGUUUUUUGCAAGUCUCAUCCUCUCCCAAAUGAAAUUGUGGCUCCCCAGAGACAGAGCAUUGUGGAUGGAAUGAGGAUGAUAGCACUCAAACUUGAAUUUGGUGUAUCUCACAAUCAGAUAUUUGAGAGGACCCUAGCAGUGCAUUUUACAGAUCCUUUCCAUGUGAGCAAACGGGUUGCAGAUAAAUGCAAUGAUGGUACUUUGCUUCUCCAGAUGGGAAACUCACUGAUGGGGGUCUCAAGUUUUUAAAGAAAGUUCGUAGCGGAGGUGUUGAUCCAAGUAUUCGAGCUGAAGUGUGGCCGUUUCUUCUUGGAGUGAUGGACGGGUCUAGUAGCCAAUCUAGUGCACAUAUGGUCUCGGUAUUAGGGGCCGAAGAGGCCAACAAUCUUCAUAAAUUUUAGGCUUUGUUUUUUUGCUUUUGGUUUGUAACUUAAUUAUUGAAACUUUGGCUUGGAACUAAUUUUUUUGCUUUUGAGUUUGUUACUUUAUUUAUUUUAAAACCUUGACUUGUAACUAAUAUUUUUGCUUUUCGAUUUGACAUGUUGUACUUCACUAUGGGCUGUUGAAUAUAUUUGGCAAAUUGCUUUAAAAUAGAUUUGUACACAGAUUUGACAUGUGUAGUAGAAAUAAAAUUGUUUUUUGUUGAAUUAGGUUAAGCCCAUAUGGGCUGUUGAAUUGAGU
rnacentral:sRNA from 1 species